UCUUCGCCUGCUUUAACGCCCAAUCAUUUUCUGGUGAAUUCAUCCAAUGGCCUCAAGCCACUUGUACCGUUUGACGAUCAUGUUGUGGCUCUAAAGCAAUCGUAUAAGACCUCACAGCUUCUAGCCAACAUUUUCUGGAGACGAUGGGUAAAUGAAUAUCUUCCAACUAUAACUCGCCGGACAAAGUGGUUCUCUCCGGCGAAACCCAUAUCGGUUGGAGACAUAGUAGUCGUCGUGGAUUCUAACCUGCCACGGAACUGCUGGCCCAAAGGGAGGGUGAUUGAAACCGUACUCUCUAAGGACGGACAAGUCAGGCAGGCCACGGUGCAGACUAUCGGAGGUAUCUACCAGAGACCUGCAGUGAACAUCGCGGUGCUAGACGUCGGUGCAAACGCGGGUAAUCCGGACCAGGGACCGGCUACCGGGGGGGAGUGUUGAGCAAGCCCCUCGUGCGCAGCGCACCUCGCUGUUCAGCACCUUGGUCCGUGAACGGACAACGGCUCGUAGCGGAAGGCACACUGUCAGUUGGAAGGAAACCACAUUAGCAUUUGGGACAUAGUGGAACAUCGUUUGAAGCUCACACGCUGCACUUUCGGAUUCUUAUUAAUUGAAUUAAUUUGUUAGCCUACCUAGUUAAAUUAAAUUAAAUUGAAUUAUCCUAUAACUAGCUAGAGGGUUACACAUAAGUGAGGUUAAAUUCAAGUAGGCUCGCUCGCCGGUUCUAGAGAAGCUGAAACCUACAAAACGAGAUUUUAAUUUUCCCGUACCGAAAUACAGAAAUUGAAAAUCACGGAACCUGUUUCUCUGUUGCCACAGCAA